UUUGAUGUCUGAGUCUGACCCAUAAACAACAGGGACCCUUGCCCUCAGCUCAAUCUCAUCAUCACAUGUUUUCAUCGACAAAGAUUCCAACCCACGAUCGACUACUUCAAUUGUCAGGUUGAAUUCUAACCCAGAGUUUGCUAAGAAAGUGAAUGCAUAGGAGGUGACUAAGGCUGAGACAACGACAAUUGGAAAAAUCUUUGCUUAUAUCAAGCAAGGAUUAGCCAAGGCCGUGAGCUAACUGGAAAGCAUGCCUCCGAAUUAGUUGAUAAGUACUUUGAGGCUAAUGGUGAUCUUGGUCCUAACCAUGAAUGCCUGUCCUACAAACUUUGAUCGACGCCAUUGGUCAAACACAUAGGUUCAAGGUGUAAGUUUCUGAAUACAACUUAGAACGAGGGACUCAGGCUAUAACAGUAAUGAAGGUUGUCUCUCCUUCAGUCCUGCAACCUUUAACAUCCCCGGUUGGAAUCCCACUUGCCACCACUUCUGAAAUGCCUCUAUUUUCUGCAAGUGAUUAGGGUGCGUCCUCCAAAGACUGGAGACCUAGCUGUUGAAGAAAACACCAGUACAAGUAACUGUGACGAAGCACAGAGGAAAACGUGCUAAAUUAGAGUAAUAGAGCAUUAACCACUCAUUUUAUAGAUUGUACUUAUGCGUAGGAGUGUAGCUUCUCUUUCCGUUUUUAAUUAUGAGCGUUUGCUAAGUUUUUCUAAUAUAUUAGUAUGGCUUUACAUU